UACGGGGGGAGCAAGCGUUGUUCGGAUUUACUGGGCGUAAAGGGCGCGUAGGCGGCACCGCAAGUCGACUGUGAAAUCUCCGGGCUUAACUCGGAAAGGUCAACUGAUACUGUGCGGCUAGAGUGCGGAAGGGGCAACUGGAAUUCUUGGUGUAGCGGUGAAAUGCGUAGAUAUCAAGAGGAACACCUGCGGCGAAGGCGGGUUGCUGGGCCGACACUGACGCUGAGGCGCGAAAGCCAGGGGAGCGAACGGG
rnacentral:rRNA from 1 species